rnacentral:pre_miRNA from 1 species
AUUUUACUCCCUCCAUUGCACAAUACAUGCCUUCUAUUUGUCAAAAUAUAUAUGUAUCUAGACAUGUUUUAGUAUAUAGGUACAUCCAUUUUUGGACAAAUGGAAGUCAAGUAUUUUGGAACGGAGGGAGUACACA